CCUUAUGUCAUAUGUAUUCUCUUGUAUUUCGGCCUUAGGCUUGGGAAGGCAUUUUGCCUUAGUGUAAUCGGUCCUAGAGCAUGUUCUAGGACUUGGGCUAGUGGAAACCAAUCAUAGUCUCCACUAGAUUGUUUUGUAACCUUGUUUUGGGAAUAGAAUUCACCUCAAGCUUUCCUCUAAAUCCACUUGUGUUCUUGAGUUGUUUUCAUUCAAGACAAGGGUCGGGUCAAGCUGCAGCCAGUAGGCCCUCCCCUUGC
rnacentral:lncRNA from 1 species